CUCGGCCGCUCCGAACCGUCUGGCGGACUUGGCACGGGCCCCGCUCCCGGGCCCCCGCGGCGCGUGGCAGGCUGCGGCUUCAUUAUCCUGAUUGAUUCCUCCUGCUCCCGACACCGUGGGGCCCGGGCCGAGGAGGGCGGGGCGGGAUCUGCGGGCCGCUUCCCGGGCGCCCGGUGGACGUGCGGGGCCGGGGUGCAGAAGGAGCGCGGGGUGGACGGAGAACUGAGGCGGCGGGCGCCGGGCAGGCGGGAAAAGGUGACAUCGCGAGGAACGACGGUCACGGCCGGGCAGGGCCACGCCAGCCUCGUCCCCUUCGGGUUGAGAUCUCGGGUUUGUCAGCGGUUCCCUGGGAGAACAGGUGAUGUGUGGACCUCAGGACUCUACCGAAGUUCUCUGGCCAGGAGCAGAAGGGGAGCUGAGGGGCUGCCCUCAUCCCUGUGCUCUUCUGGGGGCUCCCGGAGGGAGGUGAGUCCCCAGCCCAUGCUGCCCCCUGGUCCAGGUCCAGGGGCCAAACUGCCCUGGGUCUCCCCCACAGCAUAGCUCAGGCUUGAUACCUACACCCGCAUCCUGCUGCCCCCAUGCCCACCCCGGCUACGGGCCUCCCCGCCCACGGGCCCCGUCCUGUCCAGGGACAUUUCUUCUGUGGCCUUGACCCAUUCGAACAGCUCCAAGUUUAGCCCCACUCAGCCCUGGAAAGAGGGACACGGUGGAGAAUUUCGGGCCAUUUCCCCCCAGACCUCUGGCAGUUUUUGUUCCUGAACGUGACUGAGGUCAUACUUGCACUCAGUAUCCAUCCAGGCCUGUUCCCUCUUCUGUGAGUUCAUUCGUUUAUUCUUCCAAGCUGUAGGGGCAGGACGGUAGGUAGCCCCAGCAGACGGGAGUGGAGUGAACAUAGAUGGGGUAGAGAGAGCUGCACUGUGACCCCACUGACCUUCUACGGGGCGACAGCCAGAUGUGCACAGCAGCCUCUCCGGGAUGAGGAUGUUUACUGCAGCGCGACCUCUCAGGUUCUAGAACCUUCCACAGUGUCACCAUGUCUCCAGUGUCUCCCCUCCUUUCCAAAUACGGCACUCUUGCCCUGGAGUUUUCAGCCAGAAGCAAAUUACUUCCUAUGGAAAAGACAGAUCCUAGAAUGAAACUUCCCAGUUUGGGAAGAGAGAUGCCAGGGAGUGGUGUUUCCCUGCAGGAAGCAGAGGCAGGUCAGUGCAUGGACAGGGCCGGGCCAGGCCGCACAGACUCUUGGCCAAUGUGGCCCUGUGUACAGCUCCCUCAGUCUCCCCACCGGCCACGCCCAGCCGGCUGCCCUGUCCUCAGCCCCUCAGCGCCACUUCCUAUUAAUACAAGCCGCGUGGGCCCCUCGCUGUGGUGUCUCCAGGCAGAAAAGGAAGCCACAGCCGCCUAGUGGCUGCCAAGGAGGCCGGCAGGAAGGGGCAUCUCCACCAGGCGUCUCCUGGGAAACAGCGAGCUCCCCAGAGAAGGGACAUUUGGAAACAAAACUCCUGCCUGUGUUGUGUGCUUCACGUGUGUUGGGUGGGAGAGGCGCUGAGAAGCCUCCUCGGCCCCCCAACUCCUGUCUCCUCAGGGAAGCCUUCUCAGCGCCUCUCCUCACUCCCUCCCCACUUGGGCUCUGCUGGGACUGGAAAGUGGCCCAGAAAGUGGCCUUCAGUUUAGGGUGCAGCUGGAAGGGGAGAGCCCUGGGCCCAGAGUCUGAGGCCCCACUUCGGGCUUCUCUGCCUCCCCUGUCACCCCCCCCUGCCUAUUGCACCCCCUUUCCCAGUCCUCGGUUGUUCCUUUGCAAAGUGAGGGUGCGGAUGAGAUCACCCCAUCGCUCCCCACCCUCCCGGGGGUCCUCCACAGGCCACGCCUUCCCACCCUUGGGAUGGACGCCCCACAGGAGCUCAGGGCUCCUUGUGUGACCUUGACUGGUGGCCCAGCCUGGGCUGGCUUGGCCUCGCGCUGGUGCGCCUGGGUAUUUGAGGGUCCAUGGAGAACUGCAGAGGCUUUGGGGUCUCCAGGCCCCAGGCCUGAGGCUCUCUCUUGCUGUCCUGCACCAGGGGCCACUGCCUGCCACAUCUCCUCAGUGGCGACCCCUUCUCAAAGGACCCUCUUCAUAGUGUCCUGAGCCACGCUCAGGGAGCAGCACCAAACCACCUGGGAAACGGGAGUGGGUGACAGCCCUGUGCCCCUAACUCACCCGCGCCCUUUGCCAUCCUUUGCUCUUGAGGGACCGAGCCCCAUCCACGCUCAGCAAGCCCGACCUCCCCAGUAAAGUGCAAAUGGCAAGGGGAUGAGCAGUAAAAAGAAUAGAGAUGUGGGGCUGGGGUGUAGCUCAGUGGCGCCGCACCUGCUCGGCAGGCGCAAGGUCCUGAGUUCAAACCCAGGUGCCAGAAAAGAUAAUAAUAAUAGAGAUGUGUUCUGUGCAUGUACCAACUCCUCACAAGGAAUGUAAUCGUGGUGUACUGCAGGCAUGGAAUAAUAAAUUUUUUAAUGAGAUACUAAAAAUAGGGGUUGGGGGACUUUGGACUCCCCAGACGGAGUCAGAGAUGCCCAAGUGCAAGCCCUCUCCCUGAUCUUACCACCUAGAGACCCCUUCCGCAGGAGUCCCCCCCCUUGUGGGCAGGGCAGAGGUUGAUUGAGAGCUCCCCAUGCAGAAACAGCCGCCGCUCUGAGGAAGCCCUGGCCACAGGGGUGGGGAAUGGGAGGCAGAAGCGUGGGGAGGGUACAGAUCCCAACUCUCCUUGUCACCUUUGUCCUGGGGGCCUACCGUGCAUUGUGCCGGGCGUGGGCUCUGUCCACUUUGACCUAGACUAUGGCGCUCUGUCCCCACCCCAGGCGCGAACCUGGAGCUAUCCUUCCACUCUGACAGAGGAGGAAGCUGAGACUCAGGCGUUGUGUGGCUUGGCCAAGGUCACACAGGGCCUUGUCAGGACCGAAGCCAGGAUCCCAGCCCAGGCUGGCGGCCUCAGUGGGUUCUCCCCGCUGCCAGAGAGCAGGUCUGGAGUUGGGGUUUCAGUCAGAGCUGUCCGAUCCCCACAGAGAAUCUAUUGUCAUCUGCCCUUCCCUCCUCACCCAUCUGCCAGGCAAGUCGCAGGUGAGGCCCCGCCAUGGCCCCUGCCUGGUGCUCCCAAGGUGGCUCUGAGGUCACCCACACCCCAGAGCCUGCUUUCUGUGCCUCCACAUCUCUGAACAUUUGGGGAAAGCAGGACAGGAGAGGUCACUUGAAGGUUGGAAGUAGGGCUCAGGUUAUGGUCCAGGGAUUGGGGGGCCUGGCUGUCUCCCCCCACCCGCAGGAACCCUUCCCCCACACCACCCCUCACCCCAGAGACAGCCCAAGCUUUGCUUAGUUAAUGAAAUACAAAGGAGGAACCAGGGCUGGGGGGCGGCUC